GUUUUCGGAACCGUCAGCAGAUGCGGCUUCCUUUACCUGAAUAAUCCUUUAAAGGAGUAAUAAUUUUUAAAAAGGAGCUCGACCUCAGCCAAAGAGGACGGCGCACGAGAUUAGGGCUUGUAGAUCCACUGCCUUUGGUUGGGCCGGCUGAAUCGCUGGGGACUGCGGCCAGUCUCUUAAAAAAGGAGAACAAAAAGCCGAAGACCUUGUGUGGCCGCCGGGACAAAGCACCUUGGGUUCGGCGAGAAGGGACGCGCAGGAGCGCUGAACCCAGAACACGCGUGGCCGCUGCGGAAGGGCGUCCGCCCGGCGUGCGGAACGCUGAGGGGACUCUCAUCCUCUGUCUCGCCCCCUUUUUUUGACCCGGGGAUCCAGCCGCAUUAUACACGAGUGACCUUUUAAAUCUACGUCCACCCUUUACCUGCGAGAGGACUGCAGCAGGCGAGUUCCGGAAGGCUGAAUCCCCAGGUCCCAGCCCCGGACCGCGGCAACUCGCCCCUGCGGCACGCCCGGCCCGGCUGCGCCCCCACUCAGCGAUGGAGAAACAGCCCAGAUCUCCUCUUAAGCGGAAAAGAGAUUGACCUUCUAGCAGAGGCAAAGAAUGGAGUCUUCUGGGGGCAGCUGCAAAGCGUUCUCCCUAGGACAGAUGGAGCCUCCCUUUCCUCAUCUACUCUGUGGGUGGUUUCAGGGCCCACGAGUCAACAUGAGGAGUUGUGCUGGUGGUAUGUGUGUUGGAGGCUGGGCUGGCUGAUUCACAGUGACGAGGAUGUCAAUAAUAACAAGAAUGAGAAUGAUGGUACCUAAUAAAGACUUUUUUUCCCAA
rnacentral:lncRNA from 10 species